AGGGAAAUGCUGAGUUCACGUCCAUUCAGUCCACUGUAUGUUAUUUGGAUCAUGAUGGAAAAGAUUUCAGUCCAUUGCCUAUAAAGAACCCUUCAUGGAGCUGGAGCCCAACAUGCUGGAGUGCUGUCCACAUGUCAUUUUAUGGCUUGGUAUCAGAGAACACCCGGUUCUGGAUGUCAACUGCGAGCACAUGGCUACUUGUCCCAUAGUCAAGUCUUCAGUCCAGCUGGAUGCAGAAGUUUUCGAUGAUGCCACUUCUCCCUAGGAUUCCAUCUGCGAUCUGUGAUCUUGCUUCUGGGCUGCUAGCUUGUGUGGCGACAUAGAAUGCAGCUUCACAGUGAACACUUGGGAGUUUCUCACUUCAUGGCCCCAGUUUUAAGCCUGUCUAUUUCCGUUAUUCAUUCAAGAACUGAGGUCAUAACCCCAAGAUGGGUCCACAGAUCUACUUACUAUCUAAGUUGCUAUUUAAACCCUUUUGCUGUAAAUUGGGUGAAGAUUUACAGAACAAAUGAUCGGUUUUACAUUCAGCAAUUCAUCCGUCAUUCCAGUCAUUCCAAUCAUUGCAAUCCCCCCAAGGUAACAUCACCUAUCCCAUUUCCUCCUUGUGUUUUCUCUUUCCAUUCCUUUUUCUGUUCUCGCCUUCUGAACCAUCCUUGGGUACAUAUUGCCCUUGUGAGCUCAAAUGGUUGAUUAUAAGGUAUGCUUACCUCACCAGUGUUAUUAUUCCCCAUAUAGAUCUGUCCAUGAUCUGGCUGAAAGUCAAACCAGGGAGUGAAUUCAGUUCCAGACCCGAAAGUGACUAAUGGCCAUCAUCUCACGGACUCCUCCCUUUUCUAUUUGGCUGACGUGACUGGUAUCUGUUAGCAUCAUCUCAUUUAUGUAAUGCUUCACUUUCAUUGGUAGGUCUGAAUAGCAUUCUGGGCCUUCAAAAAAUUACUGUUAGCUCAGAGCUAGUGUCUAACCAGCUCUAAACAAUCUGGGUAUAUCUUUUUCUCAUUUCAAAGAUGAGUAAAGAGUCAUGUACCCUUUGGAAGGAUGCAAGGAGCUGUUUAUAUGAAUAUAUAUUCAUAUAAAUUUAUGUAUAUGAAA